rnacentral:rRNA from 1 species
UACGCAGGGGGCUAGCGUUGCUCGGAAUUACUGGGCGUAAAGCGCACGUAGGCGGCUUUCUAAGUCGGGGGUGAAAUCCUGGAGCUCAACUCCAGAACUGCCUUCGAUACUGGAAAGCUCGAGUCCGGGAGAGGUGAGUGGAACUGCGAGUGUAGAGGUGAAAUUCGUAGAUAUUCGCAAGAACACCAGUGGCGAAGGCGGCUCACUGGCCCGGUACUGACGCUGAGGUGCGAAAGCGUGGGGAGCAAACAGG